GUUAUCACGGGAGACACACGGCGGGUGCUAACGUCCGUCGUGAAGAGGGAAACAACCCAGACCGCCAGCUAAGGUCCCAAAGUCAUGGUUAAGUGGGAAACGAUGUGGGAAGGCCCAGACAGCCAGGAUGUUGGCUUAGAAGCAGCCAUCAUUUAAAGAAAGCGUAAUAGCUCACUGGUCGAGUCGGCCUGCGCGGAAGAUGUAACGGGGCUAAACCAUGCACCGAAGCUGCGGCAGCGAACGUAUCACUUAAAGCGAUUCAGCGGGUUACGAUUGACGGAGCGAAGCGACGUCAAAGCGUAUACAAAGUCGAGUCGGUUUAAGGAUACGUUCGUUGGGUAGGGGAGCGUUCUGUAAGCCUGCGAAGGUGGCCUGUGAGGGUUGCUGGAGGUAUCAGAAGUGCGAAUGCUGACAUAAGUAACGAUAAAGCGGGUGAAAAGCCCGCUCGCCGGAAGACCAAGGGUUCCUGUCCAACGUUAAUCGGGGCAGGGUGAGUCGACCCCUAAGGCGAGGCCGAAAGGCGUAGUCGAUGGGAAACGGGUUAAUAUUCCCGUACUUGGUGUUACUGCGAA
rnacentral:rRNA from 1 species